AAGAAAUUACAGAGAGAGAAGAAUUAGAAGGAAACAAAGGGAGAGACAUUGAAAAUAACAGCCAACAUACANNNNNNNNNNNAAAAAAAAAAAAAAACCCAGCCAACAAAACUCUCCCCCACACCCAUCUUUCUUCUUCUUCUUCCCCCAAAUGACCUUUUCUUUGCCUCGCUACCACCGAGCACCCUCCCAUUCCUCCUCCCUCUCCAUCACCACUUUCACUUCCAUCCUCCUCCGCCAUUCUUCUUCUUCUUAACCGACGGAUCAUUUCCUUUCUCCCCCCCCCCCCCCUUUUUUUCCCCCGAUUCCCUUCUCUGUCCCUCCUGCUCCCGGGAAACCUAGAUUUCUCUAUAUCCCCAAACCCAAAACCCCAGCCUCCAGACCCUGAAACAUCUCCUCUAUUAUCUCUUCUGAGCCGAUAAAAAAUACAUGGAUUCCGAUCAGGGGAAGCUUUUCGUCGGCGGGGGUUCCUGGGAGACGAC
rnacentral:lncRNA from 1 species